GACGCUGGCGGCGUGCUUAAUACAUGCAAGUCAACUUGACUUUAGAUAGCAAUAUCGAAAGUAGGGUGGCGCACGGGUGCGUAACGCGUAGGUAAUCUGCCCUGAGGUCUGACAUAACCCGUCGAAAGGCGGGCUAACAUCAGAUGAUAUAUAAUCACGACAUCGUGGAAAUAUCAAAUCUUCGGAGCCUUGGGAUGAGCCUGCGUCUGAUUAGGUAGUUGGCGGAGUAAUAGCCCACCAAGCCUACGAUCAGUAGCUGGUCUGAGAGGAUGAUCAGCCACACUGGAACUGAGACACGGUCCAGACUCCUACGGGAGGCAGCAGUAAGGAAUAUUGCUCAAUGGGGGAAACCCUGAAGCAGCAACGCCGCGUGAAGGAUGAAAUACUUUGUAUGUAAACUUCUGUAAGAUGGGAAAAAUAUUCUCCUCGGGAGAAUUGAUUGUACCAUCAGAGUAAGCCCCGGCUAACUACGUG
rnacentral:rRNA from 1 species